rnacentral:rRNA from 1 species
AUUGAACGCUGGCGGCAGGCCUAACACAUGUAAGUCGAACGAACUCUUCGGAGUUAGUGGCGGACGGGUGAGUAACACGUGGGAACGUGCCUUUAGGUUCGGAAUAACUCAGGGAAACUUGUGCUAAUACCGAAUGUGCCCUUCGGGGGAAAGAUUUAUCGCCUUUAGAGCGGCCCGCGUCUGAUUAGCUAGUUGGUGAGGUAAAGGCUCACCAAGGCGACGAUCAGUAGCUGGUCUGAGAGGAUGAUCAGCCACAUUGGGACUGAGACACGGCCCAAACUCCUACGGGAGGCAGCAGUGGGGAAUCUUGCGCAAUGGGCGAAAGCCUGACGCAGCCAUGCCGCGUGAAUGAUGAAGGUCUUAGGAUUGUAAAAUUCUUUCACCGGGGACGAUAAUGACGGUACCCGGAGAAGAAGCCCCGGCUAACUUCGUGCCAGCAGCCGCCGUAA